ACCUGACCUCCCAUCAAUGGCACUGAUGCUGCUUACUGGGAGGGAGAAGGGAGAGAUGGAAGUGAGGUCAGCACGGUGCAAAUGCCCUGGUGAAGUUCAACUGGUGCUUCUACCGGUGCAUUUGCACCAUGCUGACCUCACCAUCCUAUCUCUUCUUCCCUGCUUCCUCCCAUUAUGCUGCAACAACACCAGUGAUGGGAGGUCAGC